rnacentral:rRNA from 1 species
UACAGAGGGUGCGAGCGUUAAUCGGAAUUACUGGGCGUAAAGCGUGCGUAGACGGCUAUCUAAGUCGGGUGUGAAAGCCCCGGGCUCAACCUGGGAAUUGCAUUCGAGACUGAAUAGCUAGGGUACGGUAGAGGGAAGCGGAAUUUCCGGUGUAGCGGUGAAAUGCGUAGAUAUCGGAAGGAACAUCAGUGGCGAAAGCGGCUUCCAUGGAC